AAUAUACAUGUACACAGCAAAUUUAGCAGAGUUAAAAUUACGGUGUUAAUGGAAAUAUAAAGAGUUCGGAGUUAAUUUAACACUGAAUUGAGUUAAAACUAUUUUAUUUAACUCUAUAAAAAUAAAGAGUUGGUGUCAAAACAGAGUGUUACCACUUUUUUUAAAAUUAACUCCUACAGUGUUUUGUUAGUGGAGUUUGUUAACUCUUAGGGUGUUAAAUAGAGAAGACCUCCCACUUUUUACAGAACAUGCUGAACCGUGUUUUUGGAUGAUGCAGUUCAAGCAGAAGGUCAUGUCUUCACUGUAAAUGGAGAUUUGCUUUGGGGACUUUGGAGGAGCACAGAAAUAGGCCUACAUGAACAUUUCUUCAGACGAAGAGCAAUUUUAUAACAAAAAAAGUUCAAUAUCUAGUCCGAAGAUCUGACCGAGGAUCAUAUCACCUCCUUACAGCUGCUGGUUCAUCAUAUUCUGCUGUUAUUAUGUGAAGACCAACAUGGAUUUUGGAUUGAAAUGAAGUCAAACUUGUUUGUAUGAACUGAAGCAUCCCAUAAACUGUGUUUAUAAAUAUCUGUACUGUUGUUAUACAUUGGGAAUGUGCUUUUUAGUUGUCUCGGAUGUUAAUUUAAUGAACACUUAAAUGCAUGAUACAUUGAGAACAAUUUUUCUGUCAUAAAUAAAUGUUGAUCAGAUGACAUUUAAAAAAAAUCCUUAACAGUUUUAUAAUGAUAAUGAUCGAUUAUACUGCUGUAUUGUUACAUUAAAAAAACUGUUUAAAAAUAAAGUUUUUUGUCCCAAAAGUACCGUAAUAUGUUUCUGUCUUUACAUUUACCAUAUUAACACCAUAGUAUUAAAAAAUAUAACACUACAUUGGAGUUAACAAAUUACACAGAGGGAGUUAAUUUUUAACAAAUAAAAAAUAUU